rnacentral:rRNA from 1 species
AACGCUGGCGGCGUGCCUAAUACAUGCAAGUAGAACGCUGAAGAGAGGAGCUUGCUCUUCUUGGAUGAGUUGCGCACGGGUGAGUAACACGUAGGUAAUCUGCCUUCAGGUCUGACAUAACCCCGAGAAAUCGGGGCUAAUAGCAGAUGAUGCAGCGGCUUGACGUCAAGACAGUUGUUAAAGCUUCGGCGCCUGAAGAUGAGCCUGCGUCUGAUUAGCUAGUUGGCGGAGUAAUGGCCCACCAAGGCUACGAUCAGUAACUGGUCUGAGAGGAUGAUCAGUCACACUGGAACUGAGACACGGUCCAGACUCCUACGGGAGGCAGCAGUAAGGAAUAUUGCUCAAUGGGAGAAAUCCUGAAGCAGCAACGCCGCGUGAGGGAUGAAGGGGCUUCUGCUCGUAAACCUCUGUAGUGAGGGAAAAAUUUCCACUCUGUGAAAUAUGAUGGUACCUCAAAAGUAAGCCCCGGCUAACUACGUG